GAAGGUUAUCCCGAUGGGGAGAAAAGCGGCAACGCCUUACCGCCUGCCUCAACUCCUUUCAUUAAGG
rnacentral:sRNA from 1 species